rnacentral:rRNA from 1 species
UGGGGAAUAUUGCACAAUGGGCGCAAGCCUGAUGCAGCGACGCCGCGUGAGGGAUGACGGCCUUCGGGUUGUAAACCUCUUUCAGCAGGGACGAAGCGCGAGUGACGGUACCUGCAGAAGAAGCACCGGCCAACUACGUGCCAGCAGCCGCGGUAAUACGUAGGGUGCGAGCGUUGUCCGGAAUUACUGGGCGUAAAGAGCUCGUAGGCGGUUUGUCGCGUCGUCUGUGAAAUUCUGCAGCUUAACUGCAGGCGUGCAGGCGAUACGGGCAGACUUGAGUACUACAGGGGAGACUGGAAUUCCUGGUGUAGCGGUGAAAUGCGCAGAUAUCAGGAGGAACACCGGUGGCGAAGGCGGGUCUCUGGGUAGUAACUGACGCUGAGGAGCGAAAGCGUGGGUAGCGAACAGGAUUAGAUACCCUGGUAGUCCACGCCGUAAACGGUGGGUACUAGGUGUGGGUUCCAUUUCACGGGAUCCGUGCCGUAGCUAACGCAUUAAGUACCCCGCCUGGGGAGUACGGCCGUAAGGCUAAAACUCAAAUGAAUUGACGGGGUCAUAG